AUACGUAGGGGGCGAGCGUUGUCCGGAAUGACUGGGCGUAAAGGGUGCGUAGGCGGCCUGACACGUCUGGGGUGAAAGGCCACGGCUCAACCGUGGGGGUGCCCUGGAAACGGUGAGGCUUGAGUGCUGGAGAGGCAAGGGGAAUUCCACGUGUAGCGGUGAAAUGCGUAGAGAUGUGGAGGAAUACCUGUGGCGAAGGCGCCUUGCUGGACAGUGACUGACGCUGAGGCACGAAAGCGUGGGGAGCGAACAGGAUUAGAUACCCUGGUAGUCCACGCUGUAAACGAUGAGUGCUAGGUGUUGGGGGUGCGAGCCCUCAGUGCCGAAGGAAACCCAAUAAGCACUCCGCCUGGGGAGUACGGUCGCAAGACUGAA
rnacentral:rRNA from 1 species